GUCCUGAGAGCAGACGCUGGAGUUGGUGAGGCCUAAGGACUGGGCCUGGCAGAGGUGCUGCCAGGGGAUAAGAUGCUCCGGUGGGGACAGUGCCAGCCAGGGUAAAAGGUUGACACAGGCUAGAAGCUGGUUGUCAGCUGACUCCUCCCCAGGGACCUGUGGUGAGGUAGAGCCAGGCCACCAGCAGCACAGUGCUUCCCUUGCCACCUUCCCUCACCACCAGCCCCUCAUCUGCCUGUGCUUGGGGUUCUGCAUGACACAAGUCAUACCACCUCUCAGGAGCUAUUUAGGGCCAAACAAGCCUAGAAAAUGCUUCCAGGAACCAGGUGCUAGGAAGAAGACUUGUAUUUGAAGAGCCUUUCUUUCAUCCACUUUGAACCACCUACUCCGUGCCAGGCACUGUGCAGGCUCUGGGGAUGGAGCGACUGGCUAGCCCAGCCCCCGAGCUCCCAGUCCAGAGGGGAGAUGAGCAGUGCUAGGCCACCUCAGGACAGCAUGAUGGAUCUGUGAUCACCUGGGGAGACUGACUUGGGGGUGCAGGGUCGUUCAGGGGUAGCUGUGCUUGGCAUGUGGCCCCUCAUCUCUGUGUCCCUCCAUCCCUACAGCUGAAGGCACCCGGUGCACUGACCCACCUGCAGGCAAACCGGCCAUGGCGGCCAAGCGCAAAGGCGGCCUCAAGCUCAAUGCCAUCUGUGCCAAGCUGAGUCGCCAGGUGGUGGUGGAGAAGGGAGCAGAGGCUGGCUCCCAGGCGGAGGACAGCCCGCUGAGGCCCCGGGACAAAGAGCGCAGUGGCCCUGAGUCUGGGGUGGCUCGGGCCCCACGCAGCGAAGAAGACAAGAGGCGGGCGGUGAUUGAGAAGUGGGUCAACGGGGAGUACAGUGAGGAACCGGCACCUGCACCCAUGCUGGGGCGGAUCACCCGCGAGGGCCUGGAGCUGCCUCCCGAGGGUGUCUACAUGGUCCAGCCCCAGGGCUGCAGCGAUGAGGAAGACCAUGCUGAAGAGCCCUCCAAGGAUGGCAGUGUCCCAGAGAAGGACUCAGAUGGGGCAGCCUCAAAGGACAACAGUAGCCCCGGCAUCAAGCAGGCUUCAGGUGGGUGUCUGGCCUUUAAGAGGCAGGUGGAGGCUGGGAAAGGGUGCUACACUGUGGGGUGACCCAGGAAGGAAGGUCCACGUGUCCAGGUGCCCACCUGCCUCCUCUUCAUUCCUGCCCCAAGCACCAGCAUCAUGUCCAGUGAGAACUCUGGGGGUGGGGGCAGAGUAAAGGGACAGAGAAGGCAGCUUUCCAGGAGUGUGAGGGGGCAGGGGGGAUUGCCCAGCAUACAGUGGGUCCUUAAAAAACAACCGGUGGAGGGACAGAUGGACGGAUGGCCAGACACACAGAGGAAUGGACAGAUGGUGGGUGGGUGGGAAUCAAUAGGAAUGAGCCUUCUGGGGGACCAAGGUCCCUGGCCACCAGUGUGGGGAGCAGUGGUUGUGGUGGGGCAGCAACAUGAACCCCAUGAGCUGCCAGCUGCAAGCACUCUCACUCCGAGAGACUUCUCUGAGGAUCCUAGAAAAGGCUUGGUCCCCUGCCUGUGCCCCAGCAUUCUCCUUCCCUACGUCACUGCCCCUGGCCCUCCUAGGUGGGAACUCAGGCCCAUGAGGCUGGCCAGGCCCAGCCAGAAGAUCCCCUUACACCCAGCCACCCCGACAUGGUCCUCUCGCUGACCUCUUCCCAUGAGAUGGCCAAGGCCUGGCUUCUCUAGUGCCUACGUGUCCUUGGGACUUAGAGCAGUCUCCAGCUCUUUCUGCUCAGGAGAGGACCAGCCUGGGGUUUAUGGCAGGAGAGGGGCCCCCGCUAGAACUAGGUCUGGCCUUUACUCUCGCCCCAGCCUCCUCCCAGGUUGGUGCCUGGAGCUGCACGCCUCCCCUGCCUCUCCCCUGUCCCUGUCCCCCCUGCGGCGAGGGGCGCAUCUCCUCCCUGUGCGGGGAGCCCUGCACAGCCACAUAAUUAUGCAUAUAAGAUAUAAACAGAGCUGUUUAAUUAUCCUUCGCCACAUCAGUGACAGAGUAAUUAACAAACAUUGCAAGAUCAAUGAGGAAGAGUGUGACCUUCAGUUUCCUCUGAUAGGAAAAGCCCUUGCCGUUGCCAGACACAAGGUGAUUGUGCUAGGCCUGAGGAGAGGGAAGGGACAGCAGCCCUUGCUGCUGUCCCUCUGACGCUGUCUACGCUCAGCUCUGCCCACAGUGGAGGGGCUAGAGGAGGCCUCACCUCCUGAAUCCUCCCUUCCUGGAGAGAGGAGCUGGAAAGGCAGGAGGCAGGGAUCGAACUGCCCUGCGCCUCGUGGCCUGAGCUCUCCUUCCCUCAGCCCCAGGUGGCUAGGGAGCCAGUGGAGCCCCAGCUACCUUCCAUGGCCUUGGCUCCCCAGGCCAAGAAGACUUCUCUGGGCCUGGGGGUCAGGAAUGCAGGGCUCUGGAACUGCCUCUAGGACCCUGCCUGGCCCCCUCCCUGCUCCAAGUUGCCUGCCCUUCAGAGCCUUCGGUUUCCCUGCCAUAUAUAGUGAGGGUUCAGCUGCCUCCAGCUAUUUUUAGCCCCUUUCCCUGGUCCCUGAGCCACUGUAUCCAGCAGCCAGAGCCCACUCCUCCCAGGCCAGGCCCCCAACCUCUGUGGCUGGUGUUCCAGACUGUGGCUGACCCACCUGCCCUGCCAGGGGAACAGCUGUCUGAGGGUUCCUUGAGUCACUCUGCCCAGCCUGGGUGCCAGGGAGCUGCCUGUGACCCUCCCCUCCUUAGCUAGUGGGCUCCCAGUCCUCCCCAGAAGCUGAGAACCCCUCCUUCCUCAUUCUGCUGGGUUUUCUCUCCUGCCAGGCCCUGCCCGCUCUGCUCCUUUGGCCUCCCUCUGCCCCUUCCACUUGUGCUCAGAGCACCUCAGGCCUAGCAGGUUUGGGUGGGGUUGGGCGGAAUCCCCGCUGGCAUGCCUUCCUUAAGCUGUACUGUCAGGACCCACAGUCUGGGUCCUGCUACUCUGAGUGUGCCCAGGUGGGCAGGCUCAAGCUGAGUAGAGAACACUGUGUCCCCUGGACUGUGUGUCUCACUUGUCAGUAUGUGCCCAACCCUGAUGGAGGGCGCAACCUGCCGUAAGUGGAAGAAUGAGCACCCUCUCACACAUUGGAGACCACCUGUCUGCCAGGCCGAAAGGCUGUGUGUAGAAGGCACAUUAGAAGGGGCCAUGUUGGCCUAAGACUUGUCCCGGGGAGCUGGCUGUAUCUGCAGAGUUAGGAAAAGCAGCUACGAACGUGAGCUUGUGAGUCCAUGUGUGUGAGCACAUGUGUGAGUGUGGUGUGUGCAUGUGUGUGAACAUGAGCCUGCAUGUGGUGUGAACAUGGGGGAGGGAGAGUGUACGUGUCACUGUGGGGAGGUCCCUCCAGGGUUCAGUGUGCCCUAGGUGCAGACAGUGGGGAGGAUGGAUGUGCCCAGCCCAGGCCUGCUGCCCUGGGCCUACAGUGCUGGCUGCUCCCACCUGCCCUGGUCCUUGCUCUCCCAGGUGACCCACCUUGGUGUGCUCCAUGUGGUAAAUCUUGGCUGGAGGAAGGGCCCUACAUGAGUCUGUGUGGGCACGUUGGCACAGUCCCUGCCCUGCUCAGUUCUGUGGUUGGGGGGAGGCUGAGAAGCCAGGUCAUGAGGCAUCAUGGGGCAAGGCCCUCAUCAGCCAACGAGAUCCAUUUAUGGGGCUCAGGGCAGUUCACCAUGCCAGGUUCACCCCAACCCCACCCAGAGCAUCUCUCUCAGCUCCUGGGAUCUCUCCUGACUGUCCAGUCACCACCCACAUCCCUACCUGUCCCUGUGCCUGUAACUACUGCCCCCACCUCAGGAGGCAGGUUGGGAUUUGGCCUUCCAGUAAGAUGACUUCUCUUUCAUAUUAGGCCAAGGCGAGAGAGCGGAGACAUUUAUGAAACUUUGUUUAAUGUACUGAAAAGCCAUCGGCCAGAACAUUUAGGAAAUUGAUUUUCCUGGCAUUGAUGAACUCGUUUUAUUUUACCCCAGUAUUAAUUACUUUUUUUUAAAACAAAUUAAUUUAAGAGUCGUAAAACCUAACAAGUGGGCCGAAUGUCCAUAGAUCAUGUCCUGCUCUGCCCCUCCCCACACAGGCCCCUCUCUGUGGUGGGGGCUCGCAGUGGGGGGCCUCUUGGCCCUUCCUCCCCUGAUUCCUCCCAGAGGUGACCACCCCCUCCUCCUUGUAGGAGAGGCCUCCUCGCUAAGGGACUAUGCGGCCUCCACCAUGACCGAGUUCCUGGGCAUGUUUGGCUAUGAUGACCAGAACACGAGGGAUGAACUGGCCAGGAAGAUUAGCUUCGAGAAGCUGCAUGCGGGCUCCCCCCCUGAGGCGACCCCCUCUUCCAUGUUACCCACCUCUGAGGAAAGCCUCAGCAAGCGGGCACGCUUCUCCAAGUAUGAGGAGUACAUCCGCAAGCUCAAGGCCGGCGAGCAGCUCUCUUGGCCAGCCCAUGGCACCAAGGCUGAGGAGCGGGCAGGCAAGGAGAUGGUGGGCCCUCUGCCUGGCCUGCGGCUGCCCAGCAACACCACCCACCUGGAGACCAAGGCCACCAUCUUGCCCCUGCCAUCACACAGCAGUGUCCAAAUGCAGAACCUGGUGGCCCGGGCCUCCAAGUAUGAUUUUUUCAUUCAAAAACUGAAGACCAGUGAGAACCUGCGCCCUCAGAAUGGGAGUGCCUACAAGAAGCCGUCCAAGUAUGACCUGGAGAACGUCAAGUACCUGCACCUCUUCAAACCCGGGGAGGGCAGCCCCGACAUGGGCGGGGCCAUUGCCUUCAAGACAGGCAAGGUGGGGCGCCCCUCCAAGUAUGACGUCCGGGGCAUCCAGAAGCCAGGCCCCGCCAAGGUUCCGCCCACCCCCAGCCUGGCUCCUGCACCCCUCGCCAGUGUGCCCACUGCUCCCAGUGCCCCCGGGCCGGGGCCCGAGCCACCUGCCUCCCUGUCCUUCAAUACUCCCGAGUACCUGAAGUCUACCUUCUCCAAAACAGACUCCAUCACCACGGGGACCGUCUCCACUGUCAAGUAAGGCACUCCCCAUCCCACUGUACCCCAAGC
rnacentral:lncRNA from 1 species